rnacentral:rRNA from 1 species
GUACUCUUACGGGAGGCAGCAGUGGGGAAUAUUGCACAAUGGGGGAAACCCUGAUGCAGCGACGCCGCGUGAGUGAAGAAGUAUUUCGGUAUGUAAAGCUCUGUCAGCAGGGAAGAAGAAAGACGGUACCUGACCAAGAAGCCCCGGCUAACUACGUGCCAGCAGCCGCGGUAAUACGUAGGGGGCAAGCGUUAUCCGGAUUUACUGGGUGUAAAGGGAGCGUAGACGGCAGGGCAAGUCUGGAGUGAAAGGCAGGGGACCAACCCCUGGACUGCUCUGGAAACUGUACGGCUGGAGUGCAGGAG